AAAAGAAGAUCAAGAAGAGCCUCAGAAUGAAGCUUUCUUGAUGGAGGGGAGCGGCAGACGGGUGAGUAACGCGUGGGAACGUACCCUUUGCUACGGAAUAGCUCCGGGAAACUGGAAUUAAUACCGUAUGCGCCCUACGGGGGAAAGAUUUAUCGGCAAAGGAUCGGCCCGCGUUGGAGUAGCUAGUUGGUGGGGUAAUGGCCUACCAAGGCGACGAUCCAUAGCUGGUCUGAGAGGAUGAUCAGCCACAUUGGGACUGAGACACGGCCCUAACUCCUACGGGAGGCGGCAGUGGGGAAUAUUGGACAAUGGGCGCAAGCCUGAUCCAGCCAUGCCGCGUGAGUGAUGAAGGCCUUAGGGCUGUAAAGCUCUUUCACCGGAGAAGAUAAUGACGGUAUCCGGAGAAGAAGCCCCGGCUAACUUCGUGCCAGCCGCCGCCGUAAAAC
rnacentral:rRNA from 1 species